UGGGGAAUAUUGGACAAUGGGCGAAAGCCUGAUCCAGCCAUGCCGCAUGAGUGAAGAAGGCCUUUGGGUUGUAAAGCUCUUUUAGUGAGGAAGAUAAUGACGGUACUCACAGAAGAAGUCCUGGCUAACUCCGUGCCAGCAGCCGCGGUAAUACGGAGAGGGCUAGCGUUAUUCGGAAUUAUUGGGCGUAAAGGGCGCGUAGGCUGGUUAAUAAGUUAAAAGUGAAAUCCCGAGGCUUAACCUUGGAAUUGCUUUUAAAACUAUUAAUCUAGAGAUUGAAAGAGGAUAGAGGAAUUCCUGAUGUAGAGGUAAAAUUCGUAAAUAUUAGGAGGAACACCGGUGGCGAAGGCGUCUAUCUGGUUCAAAUCUGACGCUGAAGCGCGAAAGCGUGGGGAGCAAACA
rnacentral:rRNA from 1 species